rnacentral:lncRNA from 1 species
AGCUUAUACCAAGGAUUCGGGCUCGGAGAGUUUUCCGGUGCCUAGUCCAGGACUUGACCGAGCCCUAAGGCGGUCACCAGGACUCAAAUUUCAGCGAGGUUACCUAUUAUCAAUCCUCGCGUUGCCGGGGCGGACCACGUUCGUUUCUAACGAACAAGUCGAAUGCCCGUCAGCUUGUGACGGGGAUUCGCCGGACUUUGUAUGAUGAUGUGCUGGUGUCACGAGCACUCCUUCGCCGAGGCGAUCGAAGACGCUCCUCUGCUCGGUGUCCGUUCCUUGAGGACAUCGGCAGAGAAAAUCCGAGAACAGAAUAGGUAAUGUAAACAUUAAUGUAGAAACAUAAAUGGGUACCUUUAACAUGUGUCCUCGCGCCGAGGCGACUGAAGACACUUCUCUGCUCGGACUCCGUUCUUUGGGCACGUCGACAGAGAAAAAUCCGAAAAUAGAUGAAAUAAUGUAAAAGCAUUACAUAAAUGGGUACCUUGUACCGUGUGCGUCCUUGCGCCGAGGCGACUGAAGACGCUUCUCUUGUACCAUGUGUCCUUGCGCCGAGGCGACUGAAG